rnacentral:lncRNA from 1 species
GAAACAGCUGAGUCAUCUAAGUGUAAAGCCCUGACAGAGUUAUCAGUAAGCCUGCAGUACAAGCUCACACACACUCAACAGAAGAAUGUUAAAUCCAAGUAGUCAGAGCAUGAAAUGACUACCUCCUGCACUUUGUUAAUGACACUGUCACCCAAUGCGUUGCCCAGCAACACAUCCGUGAGUGUGUUGAUGUGUGAGCUGGCCGCAGUAAUAUCAGGGACGUGCAGGCCGCAGGAGGGAGAAACAUGCAGGACUGUCGUUAUUUGAAGAGAGAGCCUAUGUCAUUCUGGCCAAGGAAUCACCCAGUCAUGUUUCCACACCUCCAAACCAAUCACUGGAGCAAAAUGAAAACGACAGUGCCAGGAUAUCUCACAUCCUUUCCAGCUGCCUUGUUGAAGGACACAGUGAGUGCAUCACUAGAAUGUAACUCUACUCUUAAUGGCACCACCAGGAGCUUACCACCCCUCACCAACUCUGCUGCUAAUGAUCAUGUUUCCUCUGUGCAGCGAGCACGCUGUACGUACACAUUAGACCGUAAGUCAAACUGUUCAAUCCUGUAUUGUUUGCUAAAUUCACAUUUGUUAUCAGGCUCAACUAAACCUGCCCUCUCACCUCAAAACGUGCCCCAGUACAGAAACGUGUACAACGACAGGGCCAGGAGGGGCUUCUGUUAUUGGCUCGUGGAGAGGAAACAUUCAACAUGCAAAGGACACAGCAUGGGUUCACAUAACACUUAUCUGGGAUUACCGAGAAUAUAAGGC